rnacentral:rRNA from 1 species
ACCGAAUAAAACUUAGUAUCGCAUGAUAUCAAGUUAAAAGGCGCUACGGCGUCACCUAGAGAUGGAUCCGCGGUGCAUUAGUUAGUUGGUGGGGUAAAGGCUUACCAAGACGAUGAUGCAUAGCCGAGUUGAGAGACUGAUCGGCCACAUUGGGACUGAGACACGGCCCAAACUCCUACGGGAGGCUGCAGUAGGGAAUCUUCCACAAUGGGCGCAAGCCUGAUGGAGCAACGCCGCGUGUGUGAUGAAGGCUUUCGGGUCGUAAAGCACUGUUGUAUGGGAAGAAAUGCUAAAAUAGGGAAUGAUUUUAGUUUGACGGUACCAUACCAGAAAGGGACGGCUAAAUACGUGCCAGCAGCCGCGGUAAUAACGUAUGUCCCGAGCGUUAUCCGGAUUUAUUGGGCGUAAAGCGAGCGCAGACGGUUGAUUAAGUCUGAUGUGAAAGCCCGGAGCUCAACUCCGGAAUGGCAUUGGAAACUGGUUAACUUGAGUGUUGUAGAGGUAAGUGGAACUCCAUGUGUAGCGGUGGAAUGCGUAGAUAUAUGGAAGAACACCAGUGGCGAAGGCGGCUUACUGGACAACAACUGACGUUGAGGCUCGAAAGUGUGGGUAGCAAACAGGAUUAGAUACCCUGGUAGUCCACACCGUAAACGAUGAAUACUAGGUGUUAGGAGGUUUCCGCCUCUUAGUGCCGAAGCUAACGCAUUAAGUAUUCCGCCUGGGGAGUACGACCGCAAGGUUGAAACUCAAAGGAAUUGACGGGGACCCGCACAAGCGGUGGAGCAUGUGGUUUAAUUCGAAGCAACGCGAAGAACCUUACCAGGUCUUGACAUCCUUUGAAGCUUUUAGAGAUAGAAGUGUUCUUCUUCGGAGACAAAGUGACAGGUGGUGCAUGGUCGUCGUCAGCUCGUGUCGUGAGAUGUUGGGUUAAGUCCCGCAACGAGCGCAACCCUUAUUGUUAGUUGCCAGCAUUCAGUUGGGCACUCUAGCGAGACUGCCGGUGACAAACCGGAGGAAGGCGGGGACGACGUCAGAUCAUCAUGCCCCUUAUGACCUGGGCUACACACGUGCUACAAUGGCGUAUACAACGAGUUGCCAACCUGCGAAG